UAGGGAAUCUUCCGCAAUGGGCGAAAGCCUGACGGAGCAACGCCGCGUGAGUGAUGAAGGUCUUCGGAUCGUAAAACUCUGUUAUUAGGGAAGAACAAAUGUGUAAGUAACUAUGCACGUCUUGACGGUACCUAAUCAGAAAGCCACGGCUAACUACGUGCCAGCAGCCGCGGUAAUACGUAGGUGGCAAGCGUUAUCCGGAAUUAUUGGGCGUAAAGCGCGCGUAGGCGGUUUUUUAAGUCUGAUGUGAAAGCCCACGGCUCAACCGUGGAGGGUCAUUGGAAACUGGAAGACUUGAGUGCAGAAGAGGAAAGUGGAAUUCCAUGUGUAGCGGUGAAAUGCGCAGAGAUAUGGAGGAACACCAGUGGCGAAGGCGACUUUCUGAUCUGUAACUGACGCUGAUGUGCGAAAGCGUGGGGAUCAAACAGG
rnacentral:rRNA from 1 species